rnacentral:rRNA from 1 species
UACGUAGGGGGCAAGCGUUGUCCGGAAUCAUUGGGCGUAAAGAGCGUGUAGGCGGCUUGGUAAGUCCGCUGUGAAAGUCCAGGGCUCAACCCUGGAAAGCCGGUGGAAACUGUCAAGCUUGAGUCCGGAAGAGGCGAGUGGAAUUCCUGAUGUAGCGGUGAAAUGCGCAGAUAUCAGGAGGAACACCAAUGGCGAAGGCAGCUCGCUGGGACGGUACUGACGCUGAGACGCGAAAGCGUGGGGAGCAAACAGG